UACGAAGGGUGCAAGCCUUAAUCGGAAUUACUGGGCGUAAAGGGUGCGUAGGCGGUUGUUUAAGUCUGUCGUGAAAUCCCCGGGCUCAACCUGGGAAUGGCGAUGGAUACUGGCGAGCUAGAGUGUGUCAGAGGAUGGUGGAAUUCCCGGUGUAGCGGUGAAAUGCGUAGAGAUCGGGAGGAACAUCAGUGGCGAAGGCGGCCAUCUGGGACAACACUGACGCUGAAGCACGAAAGCGUGGGGAGCAAACAGG
rnacentral:rRNA from 1 species